rnacentral:rRNA from 1 species
AAAGCGUGCGCAGGCGGUUAUGUAAGACAGAUGUGAAAUCCCCGGGCUCAACCUGGGAACUGCAUUUGUGACUGCAUGGCUUGAGUACGGUAGAGGGGGAUGGAAUUCCGCGUGUAGCAGUGAAAUGCGUAGAUAUGCGGAGGAACACCGAUGGCGAAGGCAAUCCCCUGGACCUGUACUGACGCUCAUGCACGAAAGCGUGGGGAGCAAACAGGAUUAGAUACCCCAGU